CCUACGGGUGGCAGCAGUAGGGAAUUUUCGGCAAUGGGCGGAACCCUGACCCAGCCACGCCGCGUGAACGAAGAAGUUAUUCGUAAUGUAAAGUUUUUUUAACAGGGAAGAAAGAGAAAUUUGACGGUACCUGAAGAAUAAGCUCCGGCUAAAUACGUGCCAGCAGCCGCGGUAAUACGUAGGGAGCGAGCGUUAUCCGGAAUUAUUGGGCGUAAAGGGUGCGUAGGUGGCAUAGUAAGUCUUUUGUAAAAAUGCUGGGCUCAACCCCGUAGGGCAAAAGAUACUGCAAAGCUAGAGUAUGAGAGAGGGAAGUGGAAAGACAAGUGGAGCGGUAAAAUGCGUAAAUAUAGGUGAGAACACCAGUGGCGAAGGCGGCUUGCUGGAGGGAAACUGACGCUGAGGCACGAAAGCGUGGGGAGCAAACAGGAUUAGAUACCCUUGUAGUC
rnacentral:rRNA from 1 species